UACUGGUCAGCCAAGUGCUCAAUAUAGAUUAUUUUGACAACAGAGAUAUUGUACAAAAGUAAUCGAAAACAGGCCCAUGACCCACCGGCCAUGUUUUUUGUAGAAAUAAAACAUGAUUUAAUGUAUUUUUAUUUUUUAACAACCCACCCCAAUAAAAAAUGAUUUGGUCUUUCUGCCGUUUGCCAGAUGUCCAAUUUGCCCAUGCAUGGAGCAAUGUCAUACACCUGGCAGCAGGCCAAAAUAACGAUGAAUGCCUACACUCUAAAAUGUUGCAUUCCAACAAGCGUUCUUCUAAGAUCCUAAAAGUUCCUCAGGGUUCUUGGCUCUGAAAAGUGCCUCAAAUGUUCUUCCAAGAACCCCAAAGGAGGUGGGACCUCCUUAGAAACCUUAGUUUGUGGGGGUUCUUGCAGGAACUGCCCAACUGAAACAUUUGGAUUUAAAUUUGAGAUGACAGCAGGUGCAGGCACUUAACUGAAACAUAAGAAAAUGGACAGUUGAACAGAUAUCAAAUCAACAAAGAGGUAAGAAUAUGUUGAAGGCUAUAGCUGCAUUGGGUGCAGAUGACUAUACCUCUCACUUGUGUGUGUGUGUGAGUCUGCAGGUAUACUGAGCAGGAGGUACACAAAGGUAUGUACAAUUGGUAUGUUAUGCAGAUCACAUGUAUCAUCUACAGUUAAUUUUGGAUUCUCUAAAACCUUAUAGGACUCAAUCACAGCAGCCUCCCUGACCUCUUCAAUGAAAAUCCCAGAAGCCUCUACAUUAUGGACAAGGAAACCUGUUCCAUCACCACCAUUCUGGUUAUGGAUACGGAGAACAUCAUCAUGACAGAGGAUAAAUCCAUUGGACUUGGGGCUCGGCUGGGAAUUUUCCUUAUUUUGGGAUUUUUUAAAUUCUGCUUUGCCACUAAAAUCAUAAUAAACACUGACAACUGAA